CCUACGGGUGGCAGCAGUGGGGGAUAUUGCACAAUGGGGGAAACCCUGAUGCAGCGACGCCGCGUGGGUGAAGAAGCGCCUCGGCGCGUAAAGCCCUGUCAGCCGGGGAGCAAAUGACGGUACCUGAAGACUAAGCCCCGGCUAACUACGUGCCAGCAGCCGCGGUAAUACGGAGGGGGCAAGCGUUAUCCGGGAUUACUGGGUGUAAAGGGGGCGCAGACGGGGAUGCAAGCCAGGAGGGAAAGCCCGGGGGCCAACCCCGGGACUGCCCUUGAAACUGCGGGGCUAGAGUGCAGGAGGGGUAGGCGGAAUGCGUGGUGUAGCGGUGAAAUGCGUAGAUAUCAGGAGGAACACCGGUGGCGAAGGCAGCCUGCUGGACUGCAACUGACGUUGAUGCCCGAAAGCGUGGGGAGCAAACAGGAUUAGAUACCCUAGUAGUC
rnacentral:rRNA from 1 species